rnacentral:misc_RNA from 1 species
UCCCCAUCUAGACUAUAUGCCAUUUCAUCCAUGACAGUUUUACCAACACAUGUGGCUCCUCCUCUCAAGAUAGCCAAAACAGCCGGAGCAGUAGAUGUAGCAGCUGAAUGGGUCCUUGCCCAGUCCGGAUUGCCAAACCCCGUCACAAACCCAUUCACAUCGAAAAUGUCUUUAACCGCAAAGGUAAGACCAUUUAAGGGAAGUUCAUGAGAUGAAGAACUCGGUUUGAGCACGAAUUUCUCCAUGAAAGCUCCAUAAUCCGAGCUUCUUUCCAUGUUUGUUACUGCUCAGUGUGAUUGUGGUCUCUAACCCAAGUCCCAAC